rnacentral:lncRNA from 1 species
GAGGUUUUGAAGUUAAGUAUUGUGAGACUCCAACUUCAUUCUUCUUUUUAAAGAUUGUUUUGUUUGUUUCCAAUUCCUUUACUUCUCCAGCUAAAUUUUAGAACCAACUUGAUCAUCUCAAAUACCAAAAAACCCGUUGCUGUUGCAAUAGACAGCUGAGGCACGGGAAAGACCCUGGAGAGAGCCCCUGUGCCAUGUGGGCAAUUGGAGAAGGCUGAAGGCUGAAGCUGGAGUUCUAAGACUGGGAAAUGCCUGCUCACUCCAGCCCCCACCCCCAUCACCAGACUAUGGAGCCCGUGGGAACAAAGGCCACUGCACGUCAGCUGGUGACUCUGCUCUGUGCUUCGUCACUCUGGGACUCAGUCGGAAGCAGCAGCCACUGCUUGGAAUGUUGGUGGUCAUGGUAGGAGAAGAAACGGAGAAUGCAGAAGACUGCAGCAGACGGACGAGAGGCAGCGGAGACAGCCAGCCCCAUCCUAGCACCUUCCAGCAACAUCACCAUCAGACUCACGGAGUCCGAAAUAUAACAAGAAUAAGAAAACAAUAGCCAUAGCCAUAGUAAUGACACCGAACAACAGAGAAAUCAGCAAGAUAUGUGUUUCAGUUUGUCGGCAUGGUAUUUUUAUUAGUUUGCAACUUUCUGUUUAAGAUAAAGCAGUGUGAUCCUGGUUAACAUGGUGAAACCCUGUCUCUACUAAUAAUAAUAAAAAAAAAAUUAGCCGGGCGUGGUGGCGGGCACCUGUAGUCCCAGCUACUGGGGAGGCUGAGGCAGGAGAAUGGAGUGAACCCGGGAGGCGGAGCUUGCAGUGAGCCGAGAUGGUGCCACUGCA